GUUUCAGACGGACCUUUGUGGGUUGAAGC
rnacentral:other from 1 species